rnacentral:rRNA from 1 species
GUGAGGAAUAUUGGACAAUGGGCGCAAGCCUGAUCCAGCCAUGCCGCGUGCAGGAAGACGCAUCUAUGGUGUGUAAACUGCUUUUGUACGGGAAGAAACACUCCCUCGUGAGGGAGCUUGACGGUACCGUAAGAAUAAGGAUCGGCUAACUCCGUGCCAGCAGCCGCGGUAAUACGGAGGAUCCAAGCGUUAUCCGGAAUCAUUGGGUUUAAAGGGUCCGUAGGCGGUUUAAUAAGUCAGUGGUGAAAGCCCAUCGCUCAACGAUGGAACGGCCAUUGAUACUGUUAGACUUGAAUUACAAGGAAGUAACUAGAAUAUGUAGUGUAGCGGUGAAAUGCUUAGAUAUUACAUGGAAUACCAAAUGCGAAGGCAGGUUACUACUUGUGGAUUGACGCUGAUGGACGAAAGCGUGGGGAGCGAACAGGAUUAGAAACCCGAGUAGUCC